GGUGAGUAACNNGUGGGUAACCUGCCCAUAAGNNNGGGAUAACUCCGGGAAACCGGGGCUAAUACCGGAUAACAUUUUGAACCGCAUGGUUCGAAAUUGAAAGGCGGCUUCGGCUGUCACUUAUGGAUGGACCCGCGUCGCAUUAGCUAGUUGGUGAGGUAACGGCUCACCAAGGCAACGAUGCGUAGCCGACCUGAGAGGGUGAUCGGCCACACUGGGACUGAGACACGGCCCAGACUCCUACGGGAGGCAGCAGUAGGGAAUCUUCCGCAAUGGACGAAAGUCUGACGGAGCAACGCCGNNNGAGUGAUGAAGGCUUUCGGGUCGUAAAACUCUGUUGUUAGGGAAGA
rnacentral:rRNA from 1 species